AACUUUGUUAUGCGCGGUAGAGGAGCGUUCCGUAAGCCGUUGAAGGUGGAUUGAGAAGUCUGCUGGAGGUAUCGGAAGUGCGAAUGCUGACAUGAGUAACGAUAAUGCGGGUGAAAAACCCGCACGCCGAAAGCCCAAGGUUUCCUUGCGCAACGUUAAUCGGCGCAGGGUGAGUCGGCCCCUAAGGCGAGGACGAAAGUCGUAGUCGAUGGGAAGCAGGUUAAUAUUCCUGCACCUCGCGUAAGUGCGAUGGAGGGACGGAGAAGGUUAGGUGUACCAGGCGUUGGUUGUCCUGGGGAAAGGCGGUAGGUUUGGAUCUUUGGCAAAUCCGGGAUCCUUUAAGACC
rnacentral:rRNA from 1 species